CUAGUCUCGCUUGGUCGUUGCCAUUCAACGACCGGCUUUGACAGGCCGACUC
rfam:Pseudomonas putida KT2440 complete genome.